CCCUUAGAGUUUGAUCCUGGCUCAGGAUGAACGCUGGCGGCGUGCCUAAUACAUGCAAGUCGAACGAAUCUCUUUUAGAGAUGAGUGGCGAACGGGUGAGUAAUACAUAGGUAACCUGCCCCUGUGCGGGGGAUAACAGGAGGAAACUCCUGCUAAUACCGCAUAGCCAUGAGCACCGCAUGGAGCUCAUGCCAAAUAUCCUUUCGGGGAUAGCGCAGGGAUGGACCUAUGGCGCAUUAGCUGGUUGGCGGGGCAACGGCCCACCAAGGCAACGAUGCGUAGCCGGCCUGAGAGGGCGGACGGCCACAUUGGGACUGAGACACGGCCCAGACUCCUACGGGAGGCAGCAGUAGGGAAUUUUCGGCAAUGGGGGAAACCCUGACCGAGCAACGCCGCGUGAGCGAAGAAGGCCUUCGGGUCGUAAAGCUCUGUUGUAAAGGAAGAACGGCGCAUACAGGAAAUGGUAUGCGAGUGACGGUACUUUACCAGAAAGCCACGGCUAACUACGUGCCAGCAGCCGCGGUAAUACGUAGGUGGCGAGCGUUAUCCGGAAUCAUUGGGCGUAAAGAGGGAGCAGGCGGCCGCAAGGGUCUGUGGUGAAAGACCGAAGCUAAACUUCGGUAAGCCAUGGAAACCGGGCGGCUAGAGUGCGGAAGAGGAUCGUGGAAUUCCAUGUGUAGCGGUGAAAUGCGUAGAUAUAUGGAGGAACACCAGUGGCGAAGGCGACGGUCUGGGCCGCAACUGACGCUCAUUCCCGAAAGCGUGGGGAGCAAAUAGGAUUAGAUACCCUAGUAGUCCACGCCGUAAACGAUGGUCACUAAGUGUCGGGGGUCAAACCCCGGUGCUGCAGUCAACGCAAUAAGUGACCCGCCUGAGUAGUACGUUCGCAAGAAUGAAACUCAAAGGAAUUGA
rnacentral:rRNA from 1 species